rnacentral:rRNA from 1 species
AACGAACGCUGGCGGCAUGCCUAACACAUGCAAGUCGAACGAGAUCUUCGGGUCUAGUGGCGCACGGGUGCGUAACGCGUGGGAAUCUGCCCUUUGGUUCGGAAUAACAGUUGGAAACGACUGCUAAUACCGGAUGAUGACGAAAGUCCAAAGAUUUAUCGCCAGAGGAUGAGCCCGCGUAGGAUUAGCUAGUUGGUGUGGUAAAGGCGCACCAAGGCGACGGUCCUUAGCUGGUCUGAGAGGAUGAUCAGCCACACUGGGACUGAGACACGGCCCAGACUCUUCCGGGAGGCAGCAGUGGGGAAUGUUGGACAAUGGGCGAAAGCCUGAUCCAGCAAUGCCGCGUGAGUGAUGAAGGCCUUAGGGUUGUAAAGCUCUUUUACCCGGGAUGAUAAUGACAGUACCGGGAGAAUAAGCUCCGGCUAACUCCGUGCCAGCCGCCGCCGUAA